GUCACGCCUAUUGCACCUCGCCGGUGAGGUACUCCAAUGGCCAAUACAUGCUAUUGCACCUCACGCGGCGUUGCCAAGUUUUAUUUUUUUUCAAAAAUUAUUUUUCGUCUGCCAAAUUAUUUUUGUUUAUUUUCGUCUGCCUAACUUGCCCUAAGUAAUUUUACCACGCUGAUUGUAACCAGGUGUUUGUAAAGGAAGAGUAUAGAGUUGGGUAAGUAUAUCUUACCCAACUCUGCCCUGUAGUGUCCAUCCCCUCGUCUACCCUCCCCCUUAAAGAAAAACAAACAAAAAACCCGCUACCCCGCCAAUAGGUGACUUUAAAAAAUUAAAUCGGUGUUCGGAUUUUUCUGCAGGAUACUGUACAUGUAGAAUAACCUAUAGUGUUGUUUGGAAAUUGGCUUUGUCUAUAGAACAACAAAAUUAAACGAAUCCAGUAAGGUUC